GUUCACGCGAAGGGUCCGCCAUAUUGAGGGCUGGUCCAAAGCAAUCAGGGCGGAGGCGUAGUGGGUUAUAAAAGCCUCCGACAGCGAGUUUGCAUGGAUGCAGGCUUGAUAAUCUCACUCCACAGGUGUGCAACCGUUUUUCGGGCAUGGAGGAAACAACGUCAUACAAAUGGACUGUGGUAAAAACCAAGGCACUUAUUGCUUUAAGAAUGGAAAAGGAUGACCUGUUCUGCAAAAAACGCAAUGCUGCCAAAGAAGCAUGGGAGUCAAUCAUUAAGGAACUGGACCUUGGGCAACAUGUGUCUCACAAACAGGCCUCCAAGAAAUAGGAGAACCUAAAAAAGAAAUACAAG